GAUGAACGCUGGCGGCGUGCCUAAUACAUGCAAGUCGAGCGAACGGACGAGGAGCUUGCUUCUCUGAUGUUAGCGGCGGACGGGUGAGUAACACGUGGAUAACCUACCUAUAAGACUGGGAUAACUUCGGGAAACCGGAGCUAAUACCGGAUGAUAUUUUGAACCGCAUGGUUCAAUAGUGAAAGACGGUCUUGCUGUCACUUAUAGAUGGAUCCGCGCUGCAUUAGCUAGUUGGUAAGGUAACGGCUUACCAAGGCAACGAUGCAUAGCCGACCUGAGAGGGUGAUCGGCCACACUGGAACUGAGACACGGUCCAGACUCCUACGGGAGGCAGCAGUAGGGAAUCUUCCGCAAUGGGCGAAAGCCUGACGGAGCAACGCCGCGUGAGUGAUGAAGGUCUUCGGAUCGUAAAACUCUGUUAUUAGGGAAGAACAAAUGUGUAAGUAACUAUGCACAUCUUGACGGUACCUAAUCAGAAAGCCACGGCUAACUACGUG
rnacentral:rRNA from 1 species